rnacentral:rRNA from 1 species
GCGGAGGAACAUGUGGUUUAAUUCGAUGAUACGCGAGGAACCUUACCUGGGCUUAAAUGGGGAGUGACAGCUGUCGAAAGAUGGUUUUCUUCGGACACUCUUCAAGGUGCUGCAUGGUUGUCGUCAGCUCGUGCCGUGAGGUGUCGGGUUAAGUCCCAUAACGAGCGCAACCCUUACCGUUAGUUACCAUCAGGUUAAGCUGGGGACUCUAGCGGGACUGCCACCGUAAGGUGAGAGGAAGGUGGGGAUGACGUCAAAUCAGCACGGCCCUUAUGUCCAGGGCUACACACGUGUUACAAUGGCCGGUACAAAGGGCAGCUACUUCGCGAGAAGAUGCUAAUCUCGAAAGCCGGUCUCAGUUCGGAUCGAAGUCUGCAACCCGACUUCGUGAAGCUGGAUUCGCUAGUAAUCGCGCAUCAGCCAUGGCGCGGUGAAUACGUUCCCGGGCCUU